rnacentral:rRNA from 1 species
AUACGGAGGAGCCGAGCGUUAUCCGGAUUUAUUGGGUUUAAAGGGAGCGUAGGUGGAUUGUUAAGUCAGUUGUGAAAGUUUGCGGCUCAACCGUAGAAUUGCAGUUGAAACUGGCAGGCUUGAGUACAGUAGAGGUGGGUGGAAUUCCUGGUGUAGCGGUGAAAUGCUUAGAUAUCACGAAGAACGCCGAUUGUGACGACCCCUCGCGAAGCGGUAACUGACGCUGAGGAACGAAAGCGUGGGGAUCGAACAGGAUUAGAUACCCUGGUAGUCCGCACAGUAAACGAUGAAAACUUGUUGUCGGCGAUAUAAUGUCGGAGGCAAAGCGAAAGCGAUAAGUAUUCCACCUGGGGAGUACGCCGGCAACGGUGAAACUCAAAGGAAUUGACGGGG